CCUACGGGAGGCUGCAGUGGGGAAUAUUGGACAAUGGGCGAAAGCCUGAUCCAGCCAUGCCGCGUGUGUGAAGAAGGCCUUCGGGUUGUAAAGCACUUUCAGUGGGGAAGAAAGCCUUGGGGCUAAUACCCUCGAGGAAGGACAUCACCCACAGAAGAAGCACCGGCUAACUCCGUGCCAGCAGCCGCGGUAAUACGGAGGGUGCGAGCGUUAAUCGGAAUUACUGGGCGUAAAGCGCGCGUAGGCGGUCUGAUAAGCCGGUUGUGAAAGCCCCGGGCUCAACCUGGGAACGGCAUCCGGAACUGUCAGGCUAGAGUGCAGGAGAGGAAGGUAGAAUUCCCGGUGUAGCGGUGAAAUGCGUAGAGAUCGGGAGGAAUACCAGUGGCGAAGGCGGCCUUCUGGACUGACACUGACGCUGAGGUGCGAAAGCGUGGGUAGCAAACAGGAUUAGAACCCGAGUAGUC
rnacentral:rRNA from 1 species